AGAGUUUGAUCAUGGCUCAGGAUGAACGCUGGCGGCGUGCUUAACACAUGCAAGUCGAACGAUGAACCUCACUUGUGGGGGGAUUAGUGGCGAACGGGUGAGUAACACGUGAGUAACCUGCCCUUAACUCUGGGAUAAGCCUGGGAAACUGGGUCUAAUACCGGAUAUGACUCCUCAUCGCAUGGUGGGGGGUGGAAAGCUUUUUGUGGUUUUGGAUGGACUCGCGGCCUAUCAGCUUGUUGGUGAGGUAAUGGCUUACCAAGGCGACGACGGGUAGCCGGCCUGAGAGGGUGACCGGCCACACUGGGACUGAGACACGGCCCAGACUCCUACGGGAGGCAGCAGUGGGGAAUAUUGCACAAUGGGCGCAAGCCUGAUGCAGCGACGCCGCGUGAGGGAUGACGGCCUUCGGGUUGUAAACCUCUUUCAGUAGGGAAGAAGCGAAAGUGACGGUACCUGCAGAAGAAGCGCCGGCUAACUACGUGCCAGCAGCCGCGGUAAUACGUAGGGCGCAAGCGUUAUCCGGAAUUAUUGGGCGUAAAGAGCUCGUAGGCGGUUUGUCGCGUCUGCCGUGAAAGUCCGGGGCUCAACUCCGGAUCUGCGGUGGGUACGGGCAGACUAGAGUGAUGUAGGGGAGACUGGAAUUCCUGGUGUAGCGGUGAAAUGCGCAGAUAUCAGGAGGAACACCGAUGGCGAAGGCAGGUCUCUGGGCAUUAACUGACGCUGAGGAGCGAAAGCAUGGGGAGCGAACAGGAUUAGAUACCCUGGUAGUCCAUGCCGUAAACGUUGGGCACUAGGUGUGGGGGACAUUCCACGUUUUCCGCGCCGUAGCUAACGCAUUAAGUGCCCCGCCUGGGGAGUACGGCCGCAAGGCUAAAACUCAAAGGAAUUGACGG
rnacentral:rRNA from 1 species